rnacentral:rRNA from 1 species
UACGGGGGGGGUAAGCGUUGUUCGGAAUUAUUGGGCGUAAAGGGCUCGUAGGCGGCCAACUAAGUCGGACGUGAAAUCCCUCAGCUUAACUGGGGAACUGCGUCCGAUACUGGAUGGCUUGGAUUUGGGAGAGGGAUGCGGAAUUCCAGGUGUAGCGGUGAAAUGCGUAGAUAUCUGGAGGAACACCGGUGGCGAAGGCGGCAUCCUGGACCAAUAUUGACGCUGAGGAGCGAAAGCUAGGGGAGCAAACGGG